rnacentral:rRNA from 1 species
CAGCCGCCACGGUAAUACAGAGGGUGCGAGCGUUAAUCGGAUUUACUGGGCGUAAAGCGUGCGUAGGCGGCUUUUUAAGUCGGAUGUGAAAUCCCUGAGCUUAACUUAGGAAUUGCAUUCGAUACUGGGAAGCUAGAGUAUGGGAGAGGAUGGUAGAAUUCCAGGUGUAGCGGUGAAAUGCGUAGAGAUCUGGAGGAAUACCGAUGGCGAAGGCAGCCAUCUGGCCUAAUACUGACGCUGAGGUACGAAAGCAUGGGGAGCAAACAGGAUUAGAUACCCGAGUAGUCCCUGUCUCUUAUAC